GGGGCUGUAGCUCAGCUGGUAGAGCGCCGCCAUGGCAUGGCGGAAGUCAGGGGUUCGAGUCCCCUCAGCUCCA
rnacentral:tRNA from 2 species